UGGCUUCUGAAUGUGGGAUCUGCUUAGCGGUCCCCAGAUCCAUGGGGUGUUCGGAGUUUUAAAUUUAACUUCUCUGAUAUCUAAAGAAUGGAUUCAUGGCUCAGGGAAAGAGAAGAAAUGUUAAUGAGCAACAUUUUUAUCCAAGCCUUACCCGAGUUGCUCAAUUCAGAAUGGAAACCCUUAGGAUCUGCGCCCGAUAGAGCAACCGGGAGAACAAUGUAAUGUGACAAUGUUUAUCAUCUCUGGUUCCUUCAAAGAAAGGCAAAUAUUUACUCCGUCUGAUACUUUGUCUCCAGUCAAAUGAGUUUCUUUUUUAAAGAUGUCGUCUUUUUGAGCUCUUUGUUUUUCCCGAAGCACUUUGUGAAGUUUCCCGCUCUGCAGUGUUCUUCUCGCUGCUCCAUCUGUUCCUGCUUCCAGAGAUUUUUUUUUUUAAUCUCCUCAGGAAAUUCAAUGGAACAAGAUGUUCUCAACCUCCGUGAAAAGAUCGUCUAUUAAGAGCAGAGCGAUAGCGAGCAAUGUGCCCAACAGGCACAGCACAAAACAAACAGAGAGUGCACUCAGCCCUUCUUGAAUAAAGGAAGCCAAAUAAGACUCCUGGAAACAUGGGUUGGUACUAGGUCCUUUUCCUGGUGUACAGCAGCGCAGCUUUGGAGAUGUCUAACUCAGCUCCGGUACUCACAUACCCAUCCAGAAGAGGCAAAGAGGGACAAGGAGAGGGGGCCCAACCUUGUGCUGCCUGUCCUUUUGCACCUGCCACCACUCAUGCGUGGACUAUCACAUCCCAGCUGGCUGUUUGUGCCGAAUUCUGAGACCCCAAGACACUCAUCACCCUUGGAAUUAAAGAAUUACAAAUGGGAUUUUUGCACCUGCAAAUUGGGACGAAAUAAAGAAGAAGAAGGAGAAAAAAAAGAUAAUGCAAGACUUUGGAAGGGAUCCCUUGAAACGUUUCCAUCACCCUCAUUGGGCUGUGUUGUCUGUCCCUGAUGAAAGUCAGCCACGCAUAUGAGGAAGGGCUCUGGAGGACCAUUUAGCUUUUGCACUGAAAUUAAUUUUGGUUCGACAGAUUAACCAUAAAGAUGCUUACAGGCUGCAGGUGUGCCAAAGUCAGCAUUAGGAGAAAAUCUAGAAAAAAAAAAAAAACUACAGGGGAUGGUUAAUGACUCCUACAAAAUUAAUUUAAAUUGAAAUAGGAUAAGAACAUAUGGAAAGAAUCAAUCAUUCCCCCAUUUUGAGGGAACAUUAUUUUAGCAUGCAUAGAUUUCUGAUGUAAUUUUCUUCCUUUCCCUUAAGGGCUGGGAUGCACUCGAACACUAAGUCUUCUGCAAAAAGGAGGAACGGUUCCUCCCAUCAGGAAAUAGAAAAAAUGUGCUUCAUAAAUCCUUUGCCUUUUAAUGCCUGAGAUGUACAUCUGGGGCUCCACACACUGAUAAAAGCCCUCCCAGAAAAUGCAGUUCUGCGCAUGAGGUAAUUACACUUUCCUAGAGUCUGGUCACUGGCUCUGGCUUCCAUUUAGAAUUGGAUCUGGGGCCACUUAUUAUGCAUGUCCACAUGAACUGGACAGUUUCUAGAAUUUAAAUGUACAAUGAGAAGAGAAUACAACGGCAGCAGCACCAGGGUGGGAUUAUAAAUGUAUUUUCCCAAGUGUUUGGAAGAAAGUGGGCCACGGUCACCAAAGCCCCACAGUCACGUGGUUCACACUCAUGUACCCCCACCCCACCCCGUUCUGUGUGCAAGGCCUUUCCCACCCAUCAGCUCCAGCUCCUCACCCCCACCACUGGGAAUGGAUCAGGGAGGUGCACUCACCUUAGCCAGGAGUGAUGCUAAUGUAGCUCCCUCCCUAUGAAAUUCUCCUGAUAAUAUUUAUAGUCUACUCACCUAAAUUCAUUCACUCUUUGCCCAAGAAAAAAUUGUAAAGAUGUUUUAUUUUAUGUGUUAUGAGUGCUUUCCUGCAUGUGUACACGUACACUGUGCCCACAGUGCCCACAGAGCUCAGAAAAGGCAGUCGCAUGCCCUGGAACUGGAGUUACAGAUGGGUGUGAAUCACUGUGUGGGUGAUUCAGGUGAGAGCGGUCAGUGCUCUUAAUCAUUGAGCUAUCUCUCCAGCCCUCUCAGGAAAUAUUUCAGAUAUCAAUAUUGAUAGAAAUCCUCUUCCAGAGCUGGGGAGAUGGUUUGGCACGCAAGGUGCCUGCUAUGCAAGCCCGAUGAUCCAAGUUCCAUGCCUGGAAUCCACCUAGAGGAGAGAACCAACUCCAGGAAGCUGCCCUCGGUCCUCCAUACGUACAGGGUGACAUGCGCGUGCCCCCAGUCCCAUCAUACACACACAGUUAUAAUAACAUGAAAAGCUCCUCCUCCAUAUUAUCCAGAGAUUGACUGAGCAUCUUAUCAUUAUUCAUUUGUUACUUGACAAGUGUAGAUUAAGAUUUUGUUUGAUGUUUUAGGCAUGGACAGAAAUAAUGAUUCUGUGGCAUGAGGAGAAAUGGGUACCUGAACCCCUACGUGUAAUAUAGCCAUGUUGUUUGUGUAAAUCAGUCUGGUCUUUACUCUUAAAAAUUAUUGGUUUAAAGAUUAUUAGGGGACUUUCGGGAUAGCAUUUAAAUGUAAAUGAAGACAAUACCUAAUAAAACAUUGGGAAAAUUA